rnacentral:rRNA from 1 species
AUUGAACGCUGGCGGCAGGCUUAACACAUGCAAGUCGAGCGAGCGGCGGACGGGUGAGUAAUGUAUGGGAAACUGCCUGAUGGAGGGGGAUAACUACUGGAAACGGUAGAUAAUACAGCAUACAAUCAGAUGUGCCCAGAUGGGCUUAGCUAGUAGGUGGGGUAAUGGCUCACAUAGGCGAAGAUACCUAGCUGGUCUGAGAGGAUGAACAGCCACACUGGAACUGAGACACGGUCCAGACUCCUACGGGAGGCCGCAGUUGGGAAUAUUGCACAAUGGGCGCAAGCCUGAUGCAGCCAUGCCGCGUAUGUGAAGAAGGCCUUCGGGUUGUAAAGCACUUUCAGCGAGGAGGCGUUACUCGCAGAAGAAGCACCGGCUAACUCCGUGCCAGCAGCCGCGGUAAUUC